rnacentral:rRNA from 1 species
UACGUAGGCAGCAAGCGUUGUUCGGAGUUACUGGGCGUAAAGGGUGUGUAGGCGGUCCUCUAAGUUUGGUGUGAAAUCUCCCGGCUCAACUGGGAGGGUGCGCCGAAAACUGGGGGGCUAGAGUGCGGGAUGGGAGAGUAGAAUUCCUGGUGUAGCGGUGAAAUGCGUAGAUAUCAGGAGGAAUACCUGUGGUGUAGACGGCUCUCUGGACCGUAACUGACGCUGAGACACGAAAGCGUGGGUAGCAAACAGG